GUGCCAGCCGCCGCGGUAAUACGUAGGUGGCAAGCGUUGUCCGGAUUUAUUGGGUUUAAAGGGUGCGUAGGCGGUGUCCUAAGUCAGUUGUGAAAUACGGCAGCUUAACUGUCGAGGUGCAAUUGAUACUGGGAUACUUGAGUACUGAUGAGGUAUGCGGAAUGGACGGUGUAGCGGUGAAAUGCUUAGAUAUCGUCCAGAACACCGAUAGCGAAGGCAGCAUACUAAGGAGUAACUGACGCUGAGGCACGAAAGUGUGGGGAUCAAACAGGAUUAGAUACCCCUGUAGUCC
rnacentral:rRNA from 1 species